CCUACGGGAGGCAGCAGUGGGGAAUUUUGGACAAUGGGCGCAAGCCUGAUCCAGCAAUGCCGCGUGAGUGAAGAAGGCCUUCGGGUUGUAAAGCUCUUUUGUCAGGGAAGAAACGGUGAAGGCUAAUAUCUUUUGCUAAUGACGGUACCUGAAGAAUAAGCACCGGCUAACUACGUGCCAGCAGCCGCGGUAAUACGUAGGGUGCAAGCGUUAAUCGGAAUUACUGGGCGUAAAGCGUGCGCAGGCGGUUUUGUAAGUUUGUCGUGAAAUCCCCGGGCUCAACCUGGGAAUGGCGAUGAAGACUGCAAGGCUAGAAUCUGGCAGAGGGGGGUUAGAAUUCCACGUGUAGCAGUGAAAUGCGUAGAGAUGUGGAGGAACACCGAUGGCGAAGGCAGCCCCCUGGGUCAAGAUUGACGCUCAUGCACGAAAGCGUGGGGAGCAAACAGGAUUAGAUACCCUGGUAGUCCACGCCCUAAAACGAUGUCUACUAGUUGUCGGGUUUUAAAUUAACUUGGUAACGCAGCUAACGCGUGAAGUAGACCCGCCGUGGGGGAGGUACGGUACGGCGAGAAGUUAAAACUUAAAAUUAAGUUAAGUUAGUUAGGUUACGUGAGAGNGCGACGGACGACGACGAGGGAGGAGG
rnacentral:rRNA from 1 species